AACCAAGGUGAGUACGGAAAAAAGAAAGAAAAACGACAAAUGUAGUCGAUGGGUCGAAGGAAGCACUCACCGAAGGAAGAUCUCUCAGUUGAAAAAAAAAGAGAAUAUCAAAGAAAAAACUGAGCAAUUAAAAAAGAAAACAAUAAAACAUAGUGAAAAGUAUAUUAACAUUAACUCUAAACCCAAAACCACUUGUUUUCCCUUUUGUUUGUAUUUACCACACCAUAACCCAA
rnacentral:lncRNA from 1 species